GUGCUCGCUUUGGCAGCACAUAUAUUAAAAUUGGAACGACACAGAGAUUAGUGUGGCCCCUGCGCAAGGAUGACAUGCAAACUUAACAAUCUGAACUUAAAAUC